GAAACUCAGGCUAAUACCGCAUGAGCCCUUCGGGGGAAAGCAGGGGAUCUUCGGACCUUGCGCUAUUGGAUGAGCCUAUGCCUGAUUAGCUUGUUGGUGGGGUAAUGGCCUACCAAGGCAACGAUCAGUAGCUGGUCUGAGAGGACGAUCAGCCACACUGGGACUGAGACACGGCCCAGACUCCUACGGGAGGCAGCAGUGGGGAAUAUUGGACAAUGGGCGCAAGCCUGAUCCAGCAAUGCCGCGUGUGUGAAGAAGGCCUGCGGGUUGUAAAGCACUUUCAGUGGGGAAGAAAAGCUCAAGAUUAAUACUCUUGAGUCUUGACGUUAUCCACAGAAGAAGCACCGGCUAACUCUGUGCCAGCAGCCGCGGUAAUACAGAGGGUGCAAGCGUUAAUCGGAAUUACUGGGCGUAAAGCGCGCGUAGGCGGCUUGUUAAGUCGGAUGUGAAAGCCCCGGGCUCAACCUGGGAACUGCAUUCGAUACUGGCAGGCUAGAGUAUGGUAGAGGGAAGUGGAAU
rnacentral:rRNA from 1 species